rnacentral:misc_RNA from 1 species
GAUGAAGAACGCAGUGAAAUGCGAUAAGUAAUGUGAAUUGCAGAAUUCAGUGAAUCAUCGAAUCUUUGAACGCACAUUGCGCCCGCCAGUAUUCUGGCGGGCAUGCCUGCUCGAGCGUCAUUUCAACCCUCAAGCCCAGCUUGGUGUUGGGGAUCGGCACAGGCGCCCUCGGGCGCCCGCCGUCCCCUAAAUCUAGUGGCGGUCCCGCUGCAGCCUCCUCUGCGUAGUAGUUUUCUCCUCGCAAGGGCAGCUCGGUGGCGACCUCGCCGUAAAACCCCCAACUUCUGAAAGGUUGACCUCGAAUCAGGUAGGAAUACCCGCUGAACUUAAGCAUAUCAAUAAGCGGAGGA